GAUGAAGAACGUAGCGAAAUGCGAUAAGUAAUGUGAAUUGCAGAAUUCAGUGAAUCAUCGAAUCUUUGAACGCAUCUUGCGCUCCUUGGUAUUCUGAGGAGCAUGCCUGUUUGAGUGUCAUUAAAUUCUCAACUACACUGACUUUGAAUUGGUGUGGCUUGGAUUUGGGGGGAAAAUUGUUGUGGGCUUUUUGUAUAGUCUGCUCCCCUGAAAUUGAUUAGCGGUACCUUUGUGGAACUGUCUACAGGUGUGAUAAUUAUCUACAUCUUAGACAUCUGCUGGAAUGCUGCUUUCUAAACCUUACUUGUAUUGACAAUCUUGACCUCAAAUCAGGUAGGACUACCUGCUGAACUUAAGCAUAUCAAUAAGCGGAGGA
rnacentral:misc_RNA from 1 species